rnacentral:lncRNA from 1 species
GAUGAAGACAAGGUGAAUGAAAUAGAGUGUGAAGAAUAAUGGGUGGGAAAGAAAUCAAACAAGCACUGAUUUGCUCAAAUCAAGACAUGGAGAAUGAUCAAAAUCACCAAUGGAUGAAAUGAUAAAAGAGACAAUAAUCCAGAGUCCUUAGGAAAAGGUCAUUCGUCUCUCUCACGCACAAAGUGUACAAGACAAACCCCAAGAGGUAAGGGAUUAGAGAGCUCACAUACGAACUCUCAUCAAUAAAUGAACUCAAUAAAACAAUCCUCAAUGACUACCACAUGCUCAAUGGAGUAACACAAUACAAACAUAUAUACAACCCCGCACUUUUUUUUUUUUUUAGCGCAUAAUCUCUAUAUCAAUACAUGGGCUCCAAUGAGAAUACAUAACGACAUGGUAACCUUUUUUUUUCUUUUUUCUUUUUUUUUUUUUCUUUUUUUGUGCAUAAUCUGAAACAAUACACGGGCUCCAUUGAGAAUACAUAAUCACAUGGAUAACUUUUUUUUUUUUUUUUUUUUUUUGCGCAUAAUCUUAAUAUCAAUACAUGGGCUCCAAUGAGAAUACAUAAUGACAUGGAUAACUCUCAAACAAUGAUGUAAACUCUCACUGACAAAAUAACCUUCUCAACUAAGGAUCUCUGGACCAAUGUCCAUAGGAUGGGAUGUAAGCGGUGAUAUGAUUGUACUCCAUGCAAUGAAAUGUGAAAGAUCGGUACUCGAGGAAUGAAAAAAAACGAAGUAAAUCAAAUGAUAAGGCAACAAGAUGGAACAAAGGAUACAAAUAGUGGGAAUAAUGAAACAUGGAUAUCAUGGGGAUAACAAAAUAGUGAAGAAAACAUGUCAGUAAGUCCAAGGUUCCUGAAACUCCUGAACAAAGCAUAUGUACAUCAAAGGGCCCCUAUCCCGGUGUAAAGGUGAGCAAGGCUAUAAGAAAGAAAAAGGCCAAGAUGCUCAUGCGAGGCUCAAAAGGCUAGCAACGGUUUAAAUGUCAAUAAAGGUGAUAAGGUAUAAGCUGACCGAAAUGAUGGCCACCCAUCCUACGACCACGAUUCCAAACAUUGUGCUCUCAAACUAUCACAUGAUCAACACUAAAGAUCAAUGUCCAUCCAAUGUAACUAUGUCAACCCUCUAAAUCAUAUAAAAAAAAUCUCACUCUGAAUGCAUCGUAGUAGUCUAAAAAAUAACCCUCUCAACAGUAGAAUAGUCAAUAAUGUCAUCCGGUAAACAUGAGUCACUCAUCAUCCCCUCAGAAUGUCGACCCCUAUAACCAUGCCAAUCCACCGAAUUCAUGUGUAAAAGCUCAAUCUGAAUACUCCGCAAUGAUCUCAAAGAUGGUCUUCUCAAUGACAGAAUAGACAAUGAUCUCAUCAACCACAACCUCUCAUCAUAAUCCAACGGUCAUCAUGGAAUAUCAGCCUUUAUAGUCAUGCCAACCUCCUGAAAUCAUGCAUAAGGGUCUAAUCCGGAUGCUCCAUAAUGAUCUCAAAGAUGAUCCUCUCACCCAAAUAGUAAUCAAUGAUCUCAUAAAGCGAUCUAAGUACUCUUGUCAUAAUCCACUGGUCAUCCCCUCAUUGUGCAAAGCUCAUCUCCAGUCUGAACUGCUCAAACUCUACCUGGUCGAGUCAGAAAAUGGAUAAAAGGGACAGAUAAUGGUGCUAUGCAAGGAAAUGUAGGAUGGAAAGGUCAAGUGAUAAUGGGGUGAGGGGUGAUGCUACAUAAGGGUCAGAAUAGGUGGGUACACAAGAAUAGAAGAUGUGGAAAUGGGUAGGUACUACUCUGAUCAUAAGAUAGAUGAGUCACAGUCUUGAAUUUUUUGGGUCGGGCUCUUAGUCCAAGGUCAAAAAGCUCAAUGUCCUCCAUGAUGGGUCAGACCUCAAGAUCACAAUAUGCAAGUGAAGAGAUGGCUUAAGUCUAAAAGUCUAACACAACACACGUAGUGUGGCCCUAUGAUGAUAAUCAAAAUUUGGAUGUAUGAUAAAAACUCUACAGUCAUAAGGGUGUCCACUAUGAGAUGGCUACAAAUGUGAUUAAGGAAUUUCUAUCAAUAAUCCAAAAAAUGAGUGAGGUGUGAAGAACAACACUAUCACGAGACCAAUACUCUACCUAUAACAAGACAUACCUGAUUCACUUUCAACCCGAGCUCCAUAAAGAAAAUGAUAAGGUGAUCAAGGCGAAACCCUCAAAAAAGUUAUGAAUGUGAAAACAAGCCUUUUACAUUUCUAUAAUGAAAAUGAUAAACAUCAGGGUAAAAAUAGAAUCAAAGUGAAUCAAUCAAAGGAUAAAGUAUCAGGCCCAUGAUAUGUGUAGGAUGUAAAAAAGUGAUCAUGAUCAACAAGCAUAUCCUAAAGUAUCAAGCGCAGUGACAACAAACUAAAGAAAGCUAACUCAAGAAGGAGAGAAUUGAAUAAGAUACGACACAAGGGAAGCACGAAAAAAGUGCUCUAAUCCGAACAAUAGGCAAAAAACCAAUACAGCACGAUAAAGUGGUCCACUAAAACUUAGAAAACAACUAAACUCUGAACAUUCUAGAAAGAAACCAAAUGGAGGGAGUAUUGGAUCCUAACUGUGAUUAGAGUGACCUCUGAAGGCCCUCAGAUGUACCCAUGUGUAGGAUGGAAAUUCCUAAUAAAAGGAUCUAAGCACAACCUAUAAGGACAAGGUGGGCUUUAAAAAAUAAGUGGGUGGGUUAAGGGAAUCCCUAGCAAAAGUGAUCGUACCCUCCGACAGUAUGCAACCCUCUGCACGCCAUCGAAGAGACAGGGUGCUUCCAUGCAAGGUGGUCAUCACCUCCACACAUGCACUUCGUCACAUCCCAAGGAGUUUCCUAUGGUGAAGGCUCCCCUACUGGUUAGCGCAUCUCUCAACUCUCAAUCACUCAAAGACAAUCUAAUGUGCAUAGUGAAAGGUUUGGGUGCAUCCGAAAAACCUAUCAUAUAAAGCAAGAAAAUAAAACAUAAACAAACAAUCAUGCAUCAAACAGGAGAAAGAUAGUCAUGCAACAAUCAGCCAAGCAAUAUAGGUAUAAAUCAUCCAUCUAUAUAUUUGAAUUAAGCAAAGAUACGAUAAUCUAAUAAAAAAUAUGCCUAGAUCAGUCAUCAUGCUAUGGUAUAAUAAUCAUGCGAUAAGAGUAUACCCAAAUCAUGUCAAGACAAACAAAAUAGACAAAUGAAGCAACCAUAAGUAAACAUCAUAAUCUAAUUUGCAUCAUAGAUACUUAUAGUAUCAAAAAAUCUUCAAUGUGCCAUUGUACACUCAAUCAUACAAAGGCACAAAGAAGGGGUAUCCACUAAUCGACCAAUCAAACCCCACAUUUACCUCAACUUAAGUUCAAGUUUGACCUUCUAUGAUCCCCAACAGAGUUGUCACUUUGUGAUCCCGCAUUUUCACAUGCUUUCCCACACUCGAUGGCGAGACUCACUUUUUGUUUGUGAAAAACUAAUUUUUUAAAUAAUGAAGUUGCCACUUAUUUUUGUUUUAGUUUUUAAAGGGCAAACAAAGUAAGAAAAAAAAAAAUCAUAAAUGUGACUCCUAAAAGAAAAGACAGGUCUGUGACAACCAAUGAUGAAAAUAUAGGCAUUUUGAUUUUACGGAUAUAUCGACAGAUAUUUUGGAAAAAAAAUUCGGAAGACCUAAAGUUGAUUAAAACUUAUGAAAAUAUUGAGAAAAACUUUAAAAAUGAUAUAAUAAACAAUAAUAAACACUUUAAAGUUGUUUUAUAAAAAAAAAAAAAAUAUGUAUAUGAUAUAAUUAAUCAUAUUUAAUAAUAAUAUCGUAUACAUCGAUAAAAAAUAUGAAUUUUAUAAAUAUAUAUUUAUUAUUUAAUUACAUUAAAUAUUGUUCGAAAAUAAUAUUAUGAUAUUUGAUUAAAAUAUAUUUAAUUUUAAAAUUAUAAUCCAUUUAAUUUAAAAUGUUUUAAAUAAUAUAAAAUAAAUGAUGAUAUAUGUAUAAUUUUUUGUAAUAUUUAUAUUUAAUUAAUAUAUAAUAUAAAAAACUUUUAAGAAAAAUUAUAACGAUAGUUUUUAUAUUUUUAGUAAUUAAUUAAAUGAAAUCUAAAGAUAAAAUAAUUAGAAUUAAUUUGUUUAUUAAAAUAUUCUUUUAAUAUUUUGUUUUAUGAUAGUUAUACUAUAAAUUUAUCUGGUGCUCAUAUUUUAACAAAUGGCAAGUUAUACUAGUGGUCGACCAGGGCUGUUUGGUUUUGGUUUGGGCUCAAGUUCGAGCCCUAGCGCCUGCACAGCAAUUUGAUAUUUUGGAGGGUUUGACCGUUUGACCGCACGUUGACCAAGCCACUGCGCGCUAAUUGAACCGAAAUAUCGGUAAAAACAUCGAUAAAUCAGUAAAAAUCCAAUAUUUCAACGAUUUUUCAGUGAAAAUCGUCAAUUUUUUCCGAUUAUUACUUCCCAUUUUUUGUAUCACUCCUCGCUGAAACACGAAAUUUUGAUGAAAUUUCCUCGAUUUUUUCUGAAAUUUUCAACCAUGGUGAAAACCAGGUUGGGCCCGAGGAUCAAGUUACUUAUUAGGAAAGUACGGCGAACAACCAUAGCACCCCUCUAAGCCCUAAAAGCUAAGUCUCUACUAAGUAAGUUGAAGUAAUUAUGACAAUUAAUGGGUAAAUCAAUGGAAACCAAGGAUCAAAGUAUAUGUUAAAACAUGCACUCUCAAUAAGCAAUAAUCAUAAAAAGUGAAGAACGUACCUUUAUAGUUUGUUUAGCGCUUCCAUAAAACAAGAAGAUUAGUUCACAGGCAACAAUGUCAUAACAUAUACUAAAAUCCUCAUCACUAAAAGAUUGAUUUAUAUCUUCUAAUUGGGUUAUUAUUUUUGCCUCAAACAAAAUCCUAAAAUCAAAUUCAAGAAGUUUACAACACCAUGGAAUAAUUAGAAAAAUUUUAAAGAGUUUCUAAAUGGUCAUAUUCAAAUUUACAAGUUCAAGGGUAUAAUGAACUAUCAACAAUGUUAGUUAUUAACCAUAUUUUGGAAAACUCUGUAUGUAGGGAUCCAUCAAAUCCCAUUUUAAUUUCCACGAAUUCAUCCAUAUAAACUCCAUUGAUUGGAGUUAUGAAUUUAAUUUGUGUUUAUUCAAAACCAUAACUCAUUGUUAAAACUUUUGAAAGUUGCAUACCGAAUAAAAUAUGUAGCAUUGUCUUUUAGAAAGUAAACUUUUCAUUACCUAAUUGAUCUAAGAUUAAUUUAAAUAUAGAACUUUGAGAACUCAUUUUGUUUUAGGAGAAUCGAAAAUCAUUAAAACACAUGGGAAUCGAGAACCACUAGAAAGCACCUAAAGACAAGUGUGUGUGCCUAUGUGUGUCUGUGUCUUUGUGUGCCAGAAUUAGGCGAUCCGAUGUAUGAAUUAUUACUUAUUGUACGAACUAAACCUGCAGCCAUUUAAGUGGUUUAUUGUGUCCUAUUUUGAUUCCAAAUCCCAAAAUCGAAAGACUUCUAAAUAAAGGUUUAAAUAAAACCAAUAUAAGAUCAACAAUUUAAAUGUUAUAUGUAUAUCAAAUCAUAGAGAAAAAGAGUUCUAAACAUAAGCUAAUUAUAAUCUAACACAUGGAACAAAUUUACAGCUGUAUAGAUGAUUAAUUAUGCCUGAAUUAAACGCUAAAAUAAAUGCCUAAAGAGCCCUAAGUGAGUAUCCAAUUAAAUCAUACAAUUUCCUAUUUAAGUAACAUGCAUGUAUGUGAAUUAUGAAAUGUGGAUUCCCAAGAAUUAACUAAACAAAAAUACAUAAAAUCCUCAUAAAUCAAAAUAAAAAUGAUGAUUUCAAAGCCAAUUAUCAUAGGAUUAUCAAACGGCUUUUUAGGUAAAAACUUAGGUUAAAUCAAAUCAAAAUUCCAUUCUAAACCAUGAAACAACAAAGAUCAUUCACACAUUGACCUAAACAAUGGAUUCUAGCAACACUCAUGUGUGGCCUGGUUUGUCCACACCCAAUCCUAAUCUAGAAUAAUUAAAACCAAAGAGAGUUAAUAAAAGAAAGGGAGCAAAACCAAGAUUAAAAUUCAGCAAACUUAUCUCAAUCUUCUUGAAAAGUCUUCAUGAUUGAGAACUAAAGCCUUUUCUUCCCUCCAAUGCUUUCCACGUGAUCUCCUCAUGACCUCAUAAAGAAUCCUUGCAUCCAUUAAAAAGGUGAUCACAUGUGAAAGAAAAAAAGACAAAACUAAAGUUAAUGCACCCGCAAUACAAAAUUAAAAAGGACUAUUUAAAAAUAAAUAAAUAAACAAAUAAAUAAAAUAAUUUUAUGUCAGCCAAAAAUUAAAGUUCAAAAUAACUAAGAUCAAAAUAUUAGUUACAUGCAAUCAAACAUCAAAAAUGUCGAUUUCAUGCAAAUCAAGAUCAAAUCCUAGAACCAUGCAAUAGAAAAAAAAAAAAAAAACCUAAACGUAAAUGCAUUAGAAAUCAAAUAAAACUUAAACAAAAUUCCUAAACUAAAAAAAAAAAAAGGGUAACUAAGCAAGCACGCUAGAGAUCCUUAAAAAGUCCCCCAAGGUAUCUCCAACAAAAAUACAAAAGUAGUGACUGAAAGAGUCACAGUAGGCCACCAAAAAGAGCUUUAAAAUAGCUCAGAAAAUUAUCAUAAGAUCAUAAACAAGGAACAAAAGAUGAAUGAGGGCAAAGUUGGGCAUCAUGUACCAAAAUGACAAAAUGAAGGGUCUACACCAACUAAUACAGAGCUACUUAUGUUGUGUUUAUUAAUAAAUAUAAUCACCAAUAAAUAAAGUAUUUCUCUUUGUUUGCAGUAUCUCUUUUUGGUCCAAAAUUCAAGCAUCAUUUUACACAGAAAAAAGAUUAAUGUUUGUGCAAAUGGCAAAGUGAGAACUACACAACUAUAGUGCAUUCUAUCAUCCAAUUUACAUGUAAGCUCUCAAUAGAAAAUAAAGUCUGUUAAAAAAAUUUUCCAUAAGCAUGACACUACUUAAUCUUGCUUAUGAUCAUGGUUCUCUCUCAUUUUUUUCUAAUGGUAAAAUAAACCAUUCCGUUAUCCCACUAUUAUCAGAAUUAGAAUAUAUGUAUAAGUUGCAUGUUUGACAGAAUACCAUACUUGAAAUGGUACAGCUAUAGUAAAGAAUUCAGUUCAGAGGACCUUACUUCUUAGGAGGCUGGUUCGAUUUUUCUACCAAAAGGUCCCUUAUCUUCUUAUUGUAAACCUCCAACAUGCUAACAAACAAUUCAUAAUUUAUUAUGUUGCUUCUCUCCCUUGAAAUUCGGAACAACUCCUCCAGAGUCCUGUAGUUGACUCCCCUAUUUUCUGGAGUUCCUUCCAUUGUAAAGGUCUUUCCAGUUCCAGUUUGUCCAUAGGCAAAUAUACAGACAUUGUACCCAUCCAGCACGGAAGUCACAAUUGGUGAAGUUUGUGCAAAAACAGCCUCUGCAUAUUUAACAAACCUGGAAUUAAAAACUUGUAAACAAUGAAAGACCAAUUAACUAAUUAAUCCAGAGUAACAAAAUCAAGUAUCAGUUUGUUCAGGUUACCUUGGUCACUCCCAGGCCUGAACACAUGGUCGAACUUAAAUUGCUUCUUUGAAGAAUCAAAGCAAAUGAUUUGAAGCUCAUUUUCUCGAGAUGACUCAAAAUCAACUAUAGAAGUAGAUCCAUUAGCCAUUUCAGCUUGAUUUAAGGGUCUACAUCUGCAGAAGACCCUGAUGUUGCCUUUGAGUUAAAUAACUUCAUUGUACAGCCGCUUCUGUUCCGAGCACUCUUCAAGGUACUUCUUCUUCAGAAGCUAACUCUCUUCCAAAUGUUUCUUCUACAAAUUUUCAUACUCAAUACCUAAAAUCAAAUAAAGCAAAUCACAAACCAAUCAAAGCCCCCCUAGAAGAAGGAUAUAGAAUAUUAGUAGUAGCUAGUGAAGAAGACAUACCGAGAAACAGAAGAGCAUCGUAAACUUCAGGCCUGGGAGAGGAAUCUGCAUUAAUGCUCUUCACUUCAUUACAUAAAAUUGUGUGCCCCUUCACAGUCUGUGACAUGAAGAUUCAAAGUCGAUGACAAAUUAAUGAAGAUGAACUUUCUUAUGACACAAAAUGUCCAGGCUCUGAUUGGUUGCUAAGAAAAAGCAGGAAAAGAGAAGUAAAAUUCUGAAUCUUCAAUUUUGCAUUACUCUGCUUACUUAAAAUAUGUUGUUCAUAUUUUUUUGACAAACCUAAAUUAUGUAAAAUAUAAGAUUCAAAAUUUUCUCUUAGGUCACCCUAAUCUGAGCUUUCUCAGCAUCUAAAGAUUAUGGUUAGGCUAUAAUUACCAAAACCGUACCUGAGUCUCGGUGCUCAACUCAUCAAUUUUCUGAGAAACUGGAAGUCUGGUUAUGAUCCAAAGAAAUUUCUUGGAUUUCCAUGGAAACAUCAUUCUCAUCCAUCUUGCCCCGAUUCAGUUCAACUUUUUCCUGGAGCAACAUCCAAAACCCUUGAUCAACACACACAUCACAGAACCCCAAAAACAACAGACUAGAAUUUCAAAUUCCAAUCACUUUCAGAGUUAAGACCCAAGAAAACAAAAGCCACCACUCAACUGCACCUAACACAACCACCUGACUGACUAAAAUGGACCUUUUCUCAAUUUCUUGAACCCAACAAAAUAAGUUCCUCGGAUUUCUCCUCCACAUUCUCGGCAUCCAAACAGUGCUCAAAACAACCAAAUGAAAGAACAAACUACUCAAGAAUAAGACUGCAGACACCCAAAAAUCUUCUCGAAAUUAAAAAUCCAAGAAGACCAAAACAAUUACCGUUUCUAGGGUUUAUGCUUCUUAAAUCAAAGAAAGAAAAACAAAAACAAAAACAUAAAAGCAGAAACCUUAUUCAGAAAUUGAACAAAGCCCUGUGAUCUGAGAGCAAUGCGAUUGGAAAAGCGACGACGUUUUGCAGAUCGAACAGUUAGAAGAAGAGAGAAAGGGUGGAAUUGAUGAAAAGGAAAAGGAGAGAAGACAGAGGAUUCCUCAACGGUCACAUAGGGUUUGUAUAAGUUUGAAUUUAAUGAAUGUGGGCUGUUGGACCGGGAGAGAUUGCGCCGACGGCUAUAAACUAUGGCGCCUUUUUUGGAAAUUUUUUCUUUCGAAACGGUAAUUUCCAAUUGUUUCUAAAUGGGGUAUGCCACGUGACCUCAUUGGUUGCCACGUCGCCUAGAUGGGGUGCCACGUCACCUAAUGUCUGGAAAAAUGUAGGUAAAUGAACUGAUAUAAAUUUAAUAUAAGAUUCAUUUUCUCAGGAACCAAACAGUGGAGGGAAAAGGGAAGAAUCUGAGAGAAGUGGUGAGAGAUGCCUGAGAGACUCUUGCUUGCAUCUGAGACUAGUUCUGAGAUAGCCUCUGGUACUCCGAGGGCUUAGACUGGCUUAGACUCUCCCCAGAUACGACCUUUGUUCCACAUGCAACUGUGUACUGAAGCUCUUAUAUAAUUGAGCCAUGCAUUCAUCCACCUGAAUUUCACCCAACAAAAACAAAAAAAAACACAGACCCAGAAGUUAGGGAGAGAGAGAUGUGAAUGCAAAUCUCUGUUUGGUUGCUGAGAAAAUUAAGGCAAGAAAACCCCAGAGAAGGCAGUGCACUGGACGAGAGUUGCUCAAACCCCAUUAAUGAGAUCUCUGAGGAGAAUGGGGUUGAGACGGGCAUCAAUUUUCUUAUGCUUUCGAUAUACUGAAUGGUUAAAGGUAGUAUAUUUGAUCGAAAAAGUGUUAAUUAUUUUUAAAUAACGGUUUGAAGUUUCAAUUUCAUAAACUUGAAUUUUUAAUUUAUGGUUUUUUUUUUAUUUAAAAAAAUAUUAUUAUUUAUUAACCUUGAGAAACCUAAAACCUUCAUAGCUUGGAUUGAAAUUGAAAUGGCUUUCAGCCCACUUACCGUCCAAUGGUUCAAUAUUUGGGCUGGCUCAACCCCAACCCAUUAUCCAGCCCAUUAUCAUAUUUCCAAGCGUUUCCAUCAUUUCUUCUCCGAAGGCUGCGUCUUGCGAUGAUCUCCACUUGAAGGUACUGGGGCGCCUGGGUUAGAUACAAUAGUUUGGAUGCUGAGAAAAUGAAAGAAAAUUUUGAGUUGUCAAUUUUUUACCAUCUAGGGCUGGAGAGUGCUGAAUAUGAACUCUAUGGCUUGGUUGAUCUGAACACUUUGCUUUUUUUUUUUUUUCUUUUUUACUUUUUGGAUUUUGGGAUUUUUGGCACCGAGGAAAGUGAGAGAGAUGGCAGAGGAAUCAAAAUGCGUUUUUUUUUUUGUGUGUGUGGGUUUUCUUUGUUUUCUCGGUAACCAAACAGAGUGCUCGGGCUUUAUAACUUGGGAAUGCUAUUGCUGGCAGUUUUUAAUUCUAGGGUUUCCCUUUGAACAGCCGUGGAACUAAUGCAAUUUUUGGGUUUUGUAGUUCAGACUGAAGUUUUUUCUGGAUUGACUGCUCUUGCUAUUUAGGAUGUUUUCUUGUAUAAAAAUAUAUUAAGUUUAGACGCAGAGAAACAUGAUAAAAGGAAUUAAAAUGUUAAAACGUAAAAUUUUCAGUACCAAGGAAAAAUUCUAAAGUGCAAAAUAAGUGAAAUUGCUAUUAAGUUGAUAAGUCUACUCUUCUCUCUUUCCUGAUUGGCUAGGGUUUUUUUAUGUAUUUUAACUACAAUGUUGUCGCUCAAUAUGAUUAGAUCUUGGAAAAACUAAAGUGAGGUGAAGUGAAGUGCUUCUUUGAUCAGCAAUGACUCUACUGAAUUCUUUUCAGAUCUAGGUUUUUAUUAUGUUUCUGUUUGUGAAAAGUUUCAAGAAAUAGAUGUGAAAAUAAUUUUAUUGGGCAAAAUGGGAUGUUGUGCCCAAUUAGGGAAAACUUGUAAAGAUAAAAACUUUGACUUGAUAUAUAUGGGUUUUUUGGUGCUUGGCUGCUGAGAAAAUUUGGAGACAAAUAACAAGGGAUGUAGUUGUACUAUUGGAACAACUUAGUGCACUGAACUCAUGGAAAUUAUGUCCAUGAAGAUUAGAACUUUGGCAUGAUUUGUUUUGUUUGAUAUUCUCACCAACCAAUCUAAUGCUCUUUUUCCUGUUUGGUUGCGAAGAGAAACAAUCUCAUUUGUUUGUAGCAGUAGACAAAUGUUAGAAAUAAAUUCUAUUUUAGUUAUACAUGUCAAUUUGGCCUAGGGAAUCAAAUGAGAUAAUGCCACAAAAUCAUGUUUAGUUUGCUGCACCUUCAUUUUGAUUCAAAGUUACAUAAUACUAGGCUAAUAGCAAUUGGUUUGCACAUGGUUCUUGACUACUUUUUCAUUCGAUGCACAGGAUUUUUGUAGCUGCUGAGCCAAAUCUGUGAGUUAGACAGAAUCUCGAGUCCCUCGUCUCUUGGAAAAGAUAUACAAAGUUUCUCUCUGAGUCAGCAAGGGUGAUGAAUGUGCUACUCUCACCUUGUCUACCAACUGCAGGCCUGUGCCAGACAUCAAUCCCCACCUAUUGGCAAGAAACUCCAUUGCCAUAUCAUCAAAACUGGCAUAGAUCAAUGCAAGUCCCUUUCCAACAAUCUCAUAAACAUGUAUGGCAAAUGUGGCCUCAUUCAAGAUGCCCUUAACUUGUUCAACCAGCUGCCCCAUAGAGACCCAAUUUCAUGGGCCUCAAUUCUUACAGCCAACAACCAAGCUAACCUCCCCCACUUGACACUUUCCAUGUUUCCUGCCAUGUUCAAACAAGACGGUUUGCAGCCUGAUCAUUAUGUCUUUGCUUGCCUUGUUAAGGCCUGUGCGAUCUUGGGUGCAAUGAAGCAAGGAAAGCAAGUGCAUGCAACCUUUAUUGUGUCACCAGUUUCUGAUGAUGAUGUUGUAAAAUCAUCCCUUGUUGAUAUGUAUGCAAAAUGCGGCUUGCCUGAUAUUGGUCGUGUGGUUUUUGAUUCAAUUUCUUCAAAGAAUUCAAUUUCUUGGACUGCUAUGAUUUCAGGAUAUGCUCAAAGUGGCCGAAAAUUGGAUGCUAUUCAGCUAUUCCAGAAAAUGCCAGUGAAGAAUUUACUUUCUUGGACAGCAUUGAUAUCUGGGCUGGUACAAAGUGGGAACUGGGUUGAUUCGUUUUAUUUAUUUAUGGAAAUGCGAAGCAAAGGGAUUGAUAUAGUAGACCCAUUUAUUCUUUCAAGCAUCAUUGGAGCUUCUGCUAAUUUAGCAGUACUGGGACUUGGGAAGCAGAUUCAUUGCCUAGUUAUACUUCUUGGUUAUGAAUCUAGCUUGUUUGUUAGUAAUGCACUUGUGGAUAUGUAUGCUAAAUGUAGUGAUGUUUUAGCUGCCAAAAAGAUUUUUGGUCGAAUGGUUCAAAGAGAUAUAGUUUCUUGGACUUCAAUAAUAGUUGGGACCGCUCAACAUGGGCUAGCUGAGGAAGCAUUGUCCUUGUAUAAUCGGAUGCUUUCAACUGGACUAAAGCCUAAUGAAGUGACAUUUGUUGGAUUAAUUUAUGCCUGUAGCCAUGUAGGAUUAGUUAGCAAAGGUCGAUACUUUUUCAACUCCAUGAUUAAAGAUUAUGGAAUCAAUCCUUCCCUUCAGCAUUACACAUGCUUAUUGGAUCUUCUUAGUCGCUCAGGGCAUCUUGAAGAGGCUGAGAAUCUCAUUAAGGCAAUGCCAUUCAAGCCUGAUGAAGCUACCUGGGCUGCUUUGCUAAGUGCUUGUAAUCACCACAGGAAUACCCUUAUAGGAAUUAGGGUUGCUGAUCAUCUACUAAGCUUAAAACCUGAAGAUCCUUCAACCUACAUACUGCUAUCUAAUAUUUAUGCCAGUGCUGCUAUGUGGGAAAGUGUAUCAAAGGUGAGAAGAUUGAUGGCAGCUAUGGAAGUUAAAAAAGAACCUGGUUAUAGUUGCAUUGUCUUGGGAAAGGAGAGUCAAGUGUUCUUGGCUGGGGAGACCUCUCAUCCUGCGAAGGAGGAAAUUUUUGGUUUGCUCGAAGAAUUGGAUGCAGAGAUGAAGAAAAGAGGUUAUAUUCCUGAUACAAGUUCUGUUUUACAUGACUUGGAGCAGCAAGAGAAGGAAAGGCAGCUUUUUUGGCAUAGUGAGAGGUUAGCUGUGGCUUAUGGGCUGCUCAAGGGUAUUCCUGGGAUGGUUCUACAUAUAGUGAAAAAUCUUCGGGUUUGUGGAGAUUGUCAUACUGUUUUAAAGUUCAUUAGCAUUAUUGUGAAAAGGGAAAUUGUUGUCCGAGAUGCCAACAGAUACCAUCAUUUUAAGGAUGGGAAAUGUUCAUGUAACAACUUUUGGUGAUUACAUGUGAUUCUGGUUACAUAUAUAUCAACCUUAUACUGACAGUAGAUUCAAAUUGACAAAGCUUCAUAACUAGUCUUUACCUAUAUUAUGGCUUUUAGAUAAUUAUGUCGCAUUUCAGAUUUAGCAUUUGAACAUUUCACACUUGAUGUAUCCAUCCAUUCAUUCGACUUUUUGAGGAACAAGAGAGAAACCAGAAAAUAAUGAUAGGGAAAGUGCAAGGACAAGAUGGAAUUUGUGUUAAGACAUCCAUCCCUCUCCUCACACCAUACAAGAUGGGCAAGUUUCAUCUCUCUUAUAGGUAUGUUUCUCCACUUCCUUUCUUCAUUUUCUUGAAUUUUCCUUCAUAUUAUCUGUUUCUUGUUGCAUGUUAGAAUUUUUGGGUUUUUAGCUUUGGUUAUGAAAUAACGAAAAAGCAGAAAAGACAAGAAAGGAAAGGCAAGGAUUUUAGAGUAGUUUCUGGAAUAGAAUAUGGAAUUUGUAUUUGGCUAAGUUGAAUAGAAAUUUUUGUAAACCAGAUUAUGAGAAAUGAAAAUUUUUAGAUUCUUUUGUUAAUGAGUUUACUAUUUCCAUUGGCUUGAAGUGCUUGCUAAUACAACUAACUUUGCUUCCACUGCAUUUUCAGGGUUGUACUGGUGCCAUUAACUAGACAGGGAUCUUGGAACAAUGUUCCUUGGCCCAAUACCAUCUUAUAUCACUCUCAGAGAAACUCUAAAGGGAGUUGUCUCAUAACUGAAGCAACUGGAGCUUCCUACACUGCUCGAGGGUAAUUACAGUACAGCAUUAGUGCUUUCUCAACUUCUUUUUGUUUCCCAAUCUAAAAUGAAGAAUAUAUGUCAAGUAUAUAUACUUUCAUUUGUAUCGACAGUUAUAAGAUUUAUCUGUGUUUUUCCCAUACAUGUAGAUAUCCGCGUGUACAUGAACAAAAGAGCGAGUUGAAGCCUGAAAGCCCAUUAUGGAUGCUGUUCAGGCUAAGGGCAUUAUCUUUAUUUUUCAGAUUUGGCAUGUGAGAAGAGUUGCAAAUGGAGUUAUGUUCUUUACACACUACACUAAUUUUGAAGGUGAUGUGUGGUCUAUUUUCUGUUUGGUUCUAGCUCAUCCAAUUCUAUCCAUCCUAUUAUUACAGAUUUCCAGCAAAAUGAGCCAGCUCCUAUGUCUUCUAUACACAAGGCAUUGACCCCACGAAUCUGAAGUAAUGGCCUUGAUGUUGCCCAGUUCUCGCCUCCAAGGCAGCUAACAACACAAAAUCCCUCUAGUUGUCAAUGGUUUUAAACUUGCUGCUGGGAUCGUUUGUAAGUAAAUUUUCUUUCAUGGAUCUUCAUACUUUUCCAUAAACCAAGUACCACUUAAUUUGCCAGUCAGUUUCUUCAAUUCACUGAUAUUGUUUACCCAAUAUGCAGAGGCAGGAGACUCCAUGUUGAAUCCUUUAAAACAGCUGGAUCAGCCAAGAAUAAUAAAAGCUGGAGAAGCAUUUGAAUGUCUCCAUAGCCUUGUGCCCAUGAGGAAGGGCUUUCCGUGGCAGAUAUUCAUAGCUGCUGGGGGUUAUGUUAAAGAAGUCGGAAAAAUGCAGUGGCUGAGGACCAUGAAGAUCUUCUGGCAUUUGGAUGUUAGAGAUUUGCGCUCAGUGCUCCUCUCAACAAGCACAACAGAGACACAUUCUAUAUAUGCAAACCUGUCAUCUGUUAGUAGAUUUCCAGAGGUGGAAUUGGAAAAUGAAUUGUUUUGUUCAUUGUUAUAAGAACCCUAAAUCCAUUGUUAGAACCCCUUUUUCCCGUCCUAUGGUUUUCAUGGUAUUACAUGAGUGUUAAAAAGAAAUAUAGUGUGAAAAACAAACCUUAUCCAACUUAAAUGAUUAAAAUAGCUAUACUAAAUUUAUGCUUGGCUCUGGUUUCAUCAUCAGGUUGAUUGGAAAUUUGGCAUUCAUAUGUUAAUAUGUAACUUGUGUACAAAAUUUGUAGUUUUAAUGUUGUGGCAGAUUGAGGAGGUGAAUGAAGAAGGGAAGCAAGAAAUGACCCUGCCCACUAUUUUGAUGCUGUGUUGAUAAAAGAGAUCCAAGCUGAGCCCUAACUCCAUGUCCAUACUGAAAAAUAGAGGGAUUUUUUUUUUAAUUGCCUGUCAUACGAAGAGGAAUAUGAAAUACAUUCAAAAUUAUAAAAUUUAUAUAUUUAAAAUUAUUUUUUAAAAAAAAGAAAUGAUAAUAUUAAAAAAUAUGUUACAAUUUUGUUAUUUUUUAUUUAACCAAAUAACGAUAAGAUUUUGAUUUCAUAUCAACUCUUCAAGCUUUGUUUUCAACCCAAUUUUUCCUUGUCAAUAAAUGUUACUAGAAAUGAGUUGAAUAGAAUGGAUUAAAUUUAAUGGUAUCUACAUCAUGAUUAUCAAUAAUAUAACAAGGGUUUCAUUCUAGAAAUGAAUCUAUACAUAUCAAACAAUGUAAUUAAUCAAGUCAUACCAUAUAUGUACUUCUAUCUUAUGAUUUGAUAUCAACUUUAAUUUCAUUGUUUUUCAAUGUCAUCUCAUUCUUUUGUACUUUGGUUUCAUUAUUUGUACCUUUAUAUUUACGAUCUAGUUAUAAUUUGGUACUUAAAAUUUUUCUAUAACAAGAUACUAUUAACAUAUACUCUAAAAAAUUUUAAAUGGGAAAAAUAAGUCAAUCCUCUUAAAUUUUAACAUGCUAAAAUUAGAAUUUGAACAUGGGACAAGUUUUGAAAAAAACACCUUAAUAACAUGACUUAUUUAAUAUCUAUGCAUAAUUUAAAGUUGAUAUUGCUUAAAAAAAAUUAAAGACAAAAUUAAAACACUAGUAAAUUCAUGAAAACUUUCUAGGAACCAGACAACCUUAACGAUUCACUAGUUCAUAAUUCGAUUUGAUGUAUUCUUUUGGGUCAAGUCUACACCUUUUCUCUUUUUGGCCCUCUCACCAACCAAAAUUGAAAAUUAUGCAAAAAUUGGCUACAACUAACAAACCUUUCAAAAGGAGUGACAUCUAUUGAGGAAUAACAACAAAAUCAAUCCCCACCAUAUUCUAUGAGCCCAAACCAUGUGAUUGAAUAAAUCCUCCUCGAGGUCACAGGCUAUUUCUCUCUCCCCCUUCUUGGGACUCUGAUUCGUGUUUUUCAAUAGAGAAAUCUCUUAUCAAUAAUAGAACAACCAUCCAUUUUGCAUCAUAUCUAAUUACAAGGGAUUGUUUUUUUAGGGCAGAGAACUAAUAUGAUUUGAUCAUUAGCAAACUGAAUGCAAUCUUUUUUCUGUGGAUGAAGAUCCUGAUAGAGCAGCUUCUACUUUUAGUCACCCUUGGACUAGACUAGAAUCAUUCUCAAUGAGUCCAUUAAAAGUGAUCCCAUUUUGUUUUAAUCGGGCUAAAAAAGGAUAUUCAUUGCUUUCACAUUAGUGAUUAAUGACAGAGAAGAUUAAAAGCAAAUCCAUCAGUAACCAAUCUCUUCAAGUACAUUUCCCUUGCACAGGGCAGCAGAAGGCACAUGGCCGUGAUUAAAGGAAUUUUCAUCUUCCAUAAGCAGAAAAACAAUGUUGAGUUUAUCCCCCUUCCCUGCAGACGAAGUAGGGAGACAUGCAAAAUAGGUUGGUUUCUCCAUUUUCUCUUCGACCAAACAAGUUUUGUUAAAAAGAGAUGAAAACAACACCUUUGGGAUAUCAUUAUAUUUUCUCAUGGUAAAACUUACAAAAAUUCAAGAUUAAACAAAUGGGUUUCUUCUUUGAAGGCAUACCUUAAGUGACGCGAAUUAGAAGCACAACCAUAAUGAAGAUACACAUCAUGACAAAGAUCAGAAUCCAUGUGAAGCACGUGGUCUUAAAACCAUUCGAGUUUAUCUCCAUAGCCCGUGUAUUGACACGGCCAGUGCUUGCCAAGCUAUGCUCAACUGCUUUCUCUGUAGAAUCAAGUAUCUGCACUCAAAGCAUUGAUUAAGCUAUAAGACUAACUGGUCAUUAGACAAUACGAAAAGAUAAGAAAGCAUAUUCUACUCGUGCAGAACAUGCUGGUAGUGACAGCUGAUGAAAAGGAAAGACAAUGAAUGAGAUAGUGGUAAGUACCGGUGGUUUUAUAGGUAGCAUUUGUGGUAGUGCUAUGUGGAGUUGGUUUCAUGACAAGGUGGUGUAGAGGCAAUGGCUAUGAAAUUUUAGUGUGGUGUUUGUUUUUUUACUUAAUUCUAAAUAAAUCCUUAAUGCUUAAUAGUGUUAAAUAUUAGAUUGUUUGUUUUUGUAAUAUUUUAUUUCUAUUAAGUAUUAAAAAGUAAAAAAAAUCAAUAUGUUAUUUUUUCUAUUUAAAAAAAGCUACAUAUUUUGGCUUUUUCUAUUUAGUAAAAAGUUUAUAAUAAGUCAUGAAAAAGUAGAAAAACAAACAACCUAAAUUCUAAAGCUAAAUUGCUUUUAGUAAAAAGCUAAAAAAACAAACACCACCUAUAUAUUUUGGCUUUUUCUAUUCAGUAAAAAGUUUAUAAUAAGUGAUGAAAAAAUAGAAAAACAAACAACCUAAAUUUUAAAAACAAAUUAUUUUCAGCAAAACGCCAAAAAAACAAACACCCUCUUAGUGUUUUAAGUAAAAUAGAUUACCAUGCUCAUCAAUUGUUCAUCUCGUAAUAAUGCAAACCUUGAACAUAAUGCGUUUUUAUCUUCCUAGCGAGAAAAGGUGAUUGCUCUGGCCAUUGGUAGAGAUGAAUCAGGCUUUCAUAGGUAAGUUAUUUGGAAGUUUGGCUUGAAAAUAUGGGCUCUAUGUCAAGUUUGUGGGGCGGAAAUUUGGAGAAAAUGAUUGAGGAUGGAUGAUAAAAUGGAAAUGACUAUUAUGACAUCAAUGGGCUACCCCUUGGCAUUGGACAUUCUAAACUAUUAGUUUUCCAUUGUAUGUGCCAUGGAACACAGAAAGAUCAUUUGACAGGUUGAGUUUCAUGUCUUGACAACUACGAUUUAUGUUUCUGACACCACCCGGCUCCCUGGAUAUGCUUCUUUACAAAAUAUUCAAAUCUCACGAAAGUUAGUUUAAAUAAAAUAUAUCUUCUUCAAGAAAGCAAGGAUUUUAGAAUAUAAUCAAAUCAACCCAAGAGGUAGUAAACAGUAAACGAUAGCAGGUUUUAGGAGAGGAAUAAAGCUCAUAUAAACUACAAUUUAAAUUUUUUUAAAUAAAACAGUAAAAACAAUGCAAUUAACUAAUUACAAAAUAUUUUUGAAAAAUCAAACAAAAUGAAAAUGAAACCAGAAUCAUUGGAUCUGUCAUUUUCUUUGACUAUUCAGCUUUAUUGCAAGCAGGAUUGUUAAAGAACAAAGAAUGGACUACCAAACUGUACGGUUCCACCUAAAAAACAAGAAAUGAAAAAUGAAAAAACAUUUCAGGUUUACUCAAAAAGCUUUGUUUUCAUUUUGACCAAAUAACAUACAUUUGACACUAUGCUUCAUAUGCAUCAACAUAUUCGACACCAAUGUCUGAAGUAAUGCAAGAUUGCAAAUAAAACAACUUACCUUUUCAGAGUUCUCUAUGGACUGGCUCAUCAAGAGACUACCUUGCUUGAGUUGCUUUGCCAAUCCGACCAUUUCAUCUGUCAGGUCUUCUUGAAGCUUCCUGUCAGAGAAGAAAAGUACCAAUUUGCAGGCACACAACUUGGAGGAACAAAUAAAACUAAUAUUCAAAUUUCCCAAAGUUUUAGCUCUGAAGUCCGUCCCCAAAUCUCAAGUCAAGUAAUUGCAGAAAAGGUUUGAAUACGGUUAUCAAAUAAGGAUUCACAUACCAAUUGUACCAAUAACUUAGUACCCUGGGCCCAUUUCUGAGCAGAAUCAAGGGUAACCCAGAAAAGUGGUCAAAACCGAUAGUCCAAGUUGUUAAACAACCCAAACUGCACAACUCACUUCAUGAUUUUUAUUUUUUUCACAAAAAAGAGAAAUAAAGGAAGCAGAUAAACACCAACUUUAUUCUUUCUUUGAGUAACAGGCACAUUAUCACUCUCCUAAAUAACCACAUUUCAGUAACAUAGUUGAUUUCCUUGUUAUUUCACUAUUCUUGAUUCACUAAAAAUAAUUGUGCUUGAUUUACAUUCAAAUGUCAGUCAUUCACUUCUCAAAGUUUGGCUUUAUGUUUCUUCAACAUAACUUUCAAGGAAUUGAUUUACUAUGCACAUGAGCUUGAGCUCAGUUACAAUCAGGAGUUAUUCUCAAUAGAGGGAGGGAGUUCAUCUUUCAGAGGUAUUUCUAAAAUCAACAUAGGUGAUUUAUACACACUAUAGUAUGCAAACAUAGACAAUUCAGAUCCUAGGGGAUUUUAAAGUCAGCAUUCUUGCACUCUUGCCAUCGGUUUAGUUCCAUGCAGCAGUUACAUAAGUAUUAAGAACAAAUGCUCUUCAAUGUUAAAAGGUACCUGUGCUUUUCAAUAUGUGCCUGUGCUGCAACAUCCAAUUUGACUGGCCCCAAUGUAUCUGCCUUUACAGUAUCAUGAGUUCUAUCUUCAACAUUUGAAGCAGGCCUGUUUGGUGAACCAAAUGAUUCAAAAAAAUAAAACAAGAUAAGGGAAACAACAAAGAAAAAGAAUAGCUGGUUAUUGUCCUGCUAAGCCAAACAAUCAUAAUUUCACUUACACAAAUCUCCUUCGCAAUCCUGGGGAAUGGGGGAUGGAAUCCUCUCCUUCUUUAGAAUGGCCUUCCUGGCCAUAAGUACCAGAAAGAGGCUCUUGGGAUACUUGCACAUCAGACUGCAAAAUUUCCAAGAAAGAGAAUUGGUUAGAAAUACAACCACCAUAUGAAGUUUGUAUGCUUUGUUUAGGAAGAACAUCUUAAAACUUCAUUUUUAAACAACAAAAAGCUCCUCCUCACUAAGAUUCAUGCAUUUAAAUUGAUGGAAAAUUCACAUUUUUAAGCAUGGGAUUGAGUAGGCUCUUAACAACCCGAUACAUUCUCCAAUGUCUCUUCCCCAAAUGGUGAAUUAACCAAAGUGUAAUAGCUGAUGUAAAAAACUAUUGAAUUAUAACAACAGUCUGGAAAUGAUCAAUGGUAAAGAAGACCACUGAGAAGAGAAGAACAAAAUAUGACCACAGUAAAGGCUGCCUGAAGCAAAGAAAAGCAGCAAUGAAGGCCACUAAAAAUCAACAAUAAUGAAGACCAUAAGGAAAAAAAUUAGAAGAAAACAUAGAGACCUUAAACAGACUUUCAUAACAUAUGGAAAAGAAUGGUUUUUUAUUCAUGCAUUUCUGACCAAAUGACAUAGUAUGUAUAGUUUACAAUCCUACAAAUUAGGGAUCUAAAUUACACAAAAUCAGGCAAUAGACUAAUUCUACGUUAGAGUGCAUUGUAUCCAUUAUGGGCCCAAAUCUUAUAAGCUUAAGCUUUUAGGAAAAUUGAUAAUUUAAUAUGGUAUCAAAGCCUCGUUUGGCGGGAAGUCAUUUGUUCAAGUCUUGCCGUAUAUUUAUUUCCCUAAUUUAUUGUGGAAGUCCAAAUAGGUUAAUUGUGGUUGUUUGCCUACAGAUCUGUAUCUAUGGAGCCACACAUGAGGGAAGGUGUUAAAAAUCAUGAUAUACAUUGCGAACCUAAAUCCAACAAAAAGCUUUUAAGAAAAUAGUUGUCUAACAUUGUCUUAAAGCCUGGUUUAAACAUUGUAUUAGAGCGAGAGGUCAUGCAUUUAAACAUCAUCGCAUGUUUAUUUCCCCACUUUAUUUCAAAGGAGGUUGUUUGUUGUUUGUUUAUCUUGUGGGCCUAUGUGUGCCUAUCUCUCCAUAUGCGAAUAUGGGGCUGCACAUGAGGGAAGGUGUUGGAAUGCAUACAUUAUGGGUCCAAAUUCUUGUAGGAUUUGAGCAAAAAAUAUAUAUCAUGCACUCUAACAUCCUAAAAAUCCCCUACCCUUAGGAAAAUAAAACAAGUAUACAACAAUACAAUCUCACAAAUUAGGGAAUUAAUUCCCUUGUAUUUUCAAUCAGAUUGUCAACAAACUAUAAUUCAAAACAAACAAACAUAACUUAUUUAGCAUGUAAAGUGCCAAAUUUUAAAAAGAAAAUCAAAAUACAAACCGAUGGAGCAAUUAUUUUGGACGCCAUGGCUUCAAUCUCCUCCGCAUACUCAUUCACCUUCUGUUUUGAAACCCUACAUAAACAUUCCAAAAAGAAGAAAUAAAUUAUGGUUCAAUUGAGAAACUUGUCUCACAGUACCAAAACAUAUUAGCAGGAUUAAUAUAACAUGAAAAGGCAUAGUCAUAGCCCCAAAAACCUAGCUCAAGUGGUAAGGGCUAGGUUGAGGAAGAGGAGGUUCCACGUUUGAUGCAUGUACCCAAAGAAAAAAAAAAGACAGAAGGUGUAAUAAUCAUCGAAAGGAAAUAGAAUGACCUACGUUAUUCUUAAACGGAAAACACAUCCCACAAUAAAGAAACACAUUAGCAGGAAGUGUAGAAAUGAGCCAUAAUAAAAUUUUAAAUCACAAGUUAAAGCUGGUUUGUGAGCUCCUUAAAAGGUCAUUAAAAAGUGUCUUGGAAAAGCAGUUAAUGCAUAUAGAGCAAUAUAUAUCAAAUGAUCAUUGUUGAUCCAUAUCAUCAAAUACUCAAUAUGUCCUAAAGUUACACAAUAGAGUUUAUUAUACAACUAGACUAAACCAAAAAUAACAAAACAUCAUUGUCCUCUGUGCUCGUGCAAAGAUGUAAGAUGCAACCAAAGCUACCUCUGCACAAAUAUCCAUAAUUCUCCACCCCAAUAAACACCUUAGAAGAAUGGUCACACUGACAACAAGCACCUUGGUAAGCCCUUUCCAAAGAACAUGCACAUAUAAAUGUAUGUGUGUAUGUGUCCAUGCCGAGCACAGAUAAACACAAACUAGAAGCAGGAGUAUGUUGGCAUUCGUUGACUUCUCAAAAUAACAAAAAGUAGAAGGAAAAGGGCAAAAAAGAAAGGAAAAGGAAAAAGGGUAAGGAGAAAAACCUUGGUAAGCCUUCUAGAGUUCUCUCUUCACUUAGUUGUUCUAAUUGUUCUCGUAAAGUAGCAACAUACUGCAAAGUUCCAAUAAUUAUCAAUUAGAAAUGGUAAAUGAAUAUAUCUAAACAUCAAAAAGAAACCAAACACCUCCUGAACCAGUCCUACUUAAAUACAAUCAAACAUGACAUGCAACCAAACAAGCAUUGCUAAUAAACAAAGGAUAAUGAAUUUAUCAAUUAAACUAUUCAGUUCAAACUUUAAAUUAAUUUGAUGGAUGGAAAAAGUAAAUUAACCUCCAAACACAAAGGUGUAGAACACUUUUCAAGAGAAAAAGAGAAUAAAGCAACUAAAAUAUUCAGAUCACAUUCCACACUCUAAAAGAAAAAAAAAUGCACAUAAAUCAUUACCAAAUGAAUAGUUUGAUUUGAGAGAUCUCUGGACAUGCGAAGAAACAUACAUGUAUAAGCUUUGCCUGAUUUUGUUGUUGGGGUGCAGCUGCAAGCAACCUCCUCAAGUUUACUUCUGUUCUACUGAUACCCAUUACAGGAUCCUGUACCACUAAACAGACAAAUCUCACACAAUCCAACCAAUACAACAAAACCGUAAUAAUCCCCUACUGCAUUACAUCAUACAUGCACCAUUCUAGUUCUUCAGGGCAAGGCCAAGGUUUGGAACCAAUCAACAGCAGAACCCAUUGCUCAUUUGGACCCAAGUAUAUAAAGGUUUUUAUUGACUAUACUUUAACAAACAAGCUCUGAUAGCAUCUAAGAGGAACAGUUUGAAGAAUUGUUGAACAGAACCAAGGGAUUCUUCCAUUAGUUGUUUACAAAAGACCCAAAGAAUGGAAUUAGAGCAGGAUCUAAUUGUUCAAAUCCACAAAUAUAACUUAAACAAUUGAGUUCACAAUGCUUGGGGAGCAAUUACAGAUCAUGCAAAGUCUGUAAAUCAAAAUAACACUACCAAUUUGCCAUGUUCUAACACUCUAAUUCACUAACGCAGAGGUCACAACGACAUCCAUUUUACCAAAAGAGCCAAGAGAACAUUAAACAAAUAAUUGAACAUUAUCCAAAGCCAAUCCAAAUGCUCAAUCUGAGUAUAUUGAAGUUAUAAUUGGAUUGCGAUGUUGUAUAAUUAACACAAUACUAGAUUGCAUAAUGCACUCCACAUCAGAGAAAUUCAUAGCAAAAAGAAGAAUUUCUGGAAAAAGAAAAAACAAAGUCAAUUAUAAACCUUGUGUUUUCUACCCAACUAAUCAACUAACCCAUUCUAACUGCUACUCACUUAUGACUCUUCUAGUGUAUGCCCUGAUUGGAGAACACUUGAAUGGAAGAACUUUCUAAAUUUUAAUUUUCAUUUAUUUAUAAUUUUAUAAUUAUCACUUAUAGAAACUCGUUAUUAUAAUUGAGUUUCAUGAGAAGACACCUUUUUGCAUUUCCUAAGAAGAUUGUUAACUACUAGAAGAAUAGAAAGAUUGGCAUACUUUCCUUAUAUGUCAUAAUUCUUUGAUUGUUAGGAAAAAAAAAAUUUGAUCCUGCGCUCACCAAACCGCAAUUUCAGUGAAAAUCAGGGGGGAAAAACUUAAAAGCAAGCCCAUGUGAAACGAAAAUCUGAAAUUUUGAUAAAAAAAAAUGAAAAAAAGAAGAGCAAAAUCGAAAUGAACUGAGCGCUCAUUGUCCUUUCAGAAUAGAAGUUAAAACUUCUAACAAGAAAAUAAUUUCGCUGAAACAAAAUUAAUUUCCGAGAAACCUAUCGAUCGCUGUUGUUCCAAACCAUUACACAACAUGUUGACAUAAAUCUCCAAGGAUCCAGAAAAAAAAAAAAAAAAGUUGAUUAAAAAAACAUGAAUUCCUAAAACCUAUGUUUGUUUUUAAUUUACAGAAAAAAGGAAAAGAAGAAAAAAAACCAAUCGAGAAUUUUACUUGAAGAUCUCCGUGGGCGUUGCCCUGUUGGGUCUCUCCAGUGACUUCUGUUCGGCCUCCCUUGAAACCCAAGGCUUCUAAAGGUGCGCUUGUGUAUACUUUUCUUCGAUGCCUUCAGCUAUACAAAUUCGAGAGAUAGACGAGUCUGUUUACAAAUGUUUUCAAAAAACAGUUCAACUUUCUCAUUAAAGCGUUUUGUAAUUUCACAGUAAUCUCGUUUAGCGAGAAUUAGAGGAGAAAUUUUUAUUUCAUUGUUAUUAUUAUUAUUAUUAUUAUUUUAAUGGUAGGAAGAUUAUUACAUAUUGAUUUAAUCUUUUGGAUUAAACCAAUGUUUGCAUGAUUAAAAACCUUUGGCCACUGGGCUUAAGUUUAUUGUAUAAAGGACUUGUGAGUUUGUCUUUGAUAUACAUUCUUGCAUAAUUUAAAAGCCCUAAGAAAUACUAGAGUUGCUAGGUCUAAUGACUUUAAGUUCUAAGAGUUCCUUGAUCUGAGUCUGGAAUUCUUCUUUGUCCUGUGGACUAUAGUCUCCUUUGGCAAUUUUGAUCUGAAUUUCUGGAUUGAUAAUUUCUAGUUCAGCUAGAUAAUUAUUUAUUUCCCAAAAUUUUAAAGGAUUUUCCCCUAAAAUUUGAGCUUGCUCUAUGAUUCUGAUAAGUUCUUCUAAGUUCUGUCUUUUUUGGAAAGCAAAAACAGGUGUGAAAAUUGGGGCAGAUCACUUUAAGGUUCAGGCAAUCUUUCCAUACCAAUUCGAGUGUUCAGAAGAAAUAUCCCAAAACAAAUCACUUAUUGUUGAAUCAAUAUCUGAAUCUUACGAGUUAAAUGAGUUGGAGCGAGUUCACGAGAGUCGAAGAAAGACUAUUAGAAGGUACAGUUUAAGGUGGUGUUUGUUUUUUUGGCUUUUUACUGAAAGCAAUUUAGUUUUAGAAUUUACGUUGUUUGUUUUUGUACUUUUUCAUGAUUUAUUAUAAACUUUUUAUUAAAUAGAAAAAGUCAAAAUAUGUAGCUUUUUCUAAAUAGAAAAAAUAAUAUAUUUAUUUUUUUUACUUUUUAAUACUUAAUAGAAACAAAAUACUACAAAAACAAACAACCUAAUAUUUAACACUAUUAAGCAUUAAGGUUCUAUUUAGAAUUAAGUAAAAAAAUAAACACCACCUAAGUGUUGAAUUGUAGUGUGCAAUGUGGUGGUGUUUGUGUAGAAAUUAUAUGUUUAAUAUAGUUUAGAAAAUAUUUUUAAAAUUUUGAAAAAUCACUUAUAGUAUUUUUUGUGAAAAUACUUAAAAUAUAAUUCUCUUAAAAAUAUUUUCUUAGAAAAUACUUUCACUAAAAAUACUUCACUAUGAAACACACUCUAACUUUAUUUUUUUUAAUUUUUUAAAAUAAAAAAAAUUAAAAGGGUAAGUAUAAAAAAAUUAACAAUAAAAGGAUAAUUAUUUACUAGUUUUUUUUAAAAAAAAAAAAAUCACUUAAAAACUGAUUUUCUAAUAUGCAUUAACAUUGAUUUUUUUUUCCUAUGCUUUUGCGUUGGCCUUAUAAUUUUCUCCCCAUUUUUGUCCUAAAGUCCUUGGGAAUAUCAUGAAUUUUUUUGUACCUCCUUUAGCAUGAAAUCCCUCUCAAAACUAUAAUUUUUUCAAUUAAAUGACAAAAACAUGAUUAUUUAUUUAUUUUUUUUUUGUUAAACAUAGUAUACGUCCUCACAUUCAAAACUCAAUGCUUUACUUUUCAAACUUGAUGAAAAUAAUCGAUGAUAACGCAAAAAAUUAUUGCAUGAGAAAUGUUUAUGCCUAUAAUUGUUAGAAAAUCUUAGAGUUUGUUUGGUAUAGUUUUUAAAAACAAUUUUCUAUUUUUAAAAGCAAAAAACAAUUUUAAAAACUCCUAUUUAUUAUUUUUCUCUAUUUCCAGUUUUUAAAAACAAAGUGAAAUAGAAAAGAAGUAAAAGUUGUUUUCACCAAUUUUUAAAAACAAUAGAAAGACACAUACACUAUCAUUUCUCUUCCACGUAGAAUUAUUAUUUUUUAAUUUUUUUCGUUAGGCAAAUUAACUCAAAAUUAAAUAAGACUUAAUGCAUUAGAGUUGUCAACAAGUCUAUUAAUUUUUAAAAAUAAUUUAAAACUUAAAUAAUAAACUCAUUAAUAUUAUAAAUUUAUAAAUAUAAUAAAAUAUCUUUUUUUAACCUAUAAUAAAAUAGUAUAUUUUAUAGUAAAAAUAUAAUUUAUGAUUUUAUUAUAAUAUUACUAUUUAUGUUUUACUGAAAACUAUAUAUUUUUUUAAGUUAUUUGUAAUUACAAAAUUAUUUUCCUUUUCAAUAAGACUUCAAUUAAAUUUAAUUAAUUAAUAUUAUAUAAAUUGAAUUUAAAAUGUUUUUACAAAAUCAAAACAUUUUUUUUUUAUAAAAAAAAACAAUUUAUCCGAACAAGGCUUUUUGUUUUUUAUUUUUAAAAUCCUUUUAUAAAAAUAAAUUACCAAAUAUCCUUAAUUUUAUAAAACAUUAAAAAACUUUUUUAUAUUUUUUUUAACUCAAAAGAAGUUCUCAAAAAAAACAUAAGAAAUCAUGAUCAAAGUUAGAAAAAAUUAUUAAAGUACUUAUUUGAGUUAUAUUAAAUAAGAUUAUUAAAAUUAUUUUUAUCUUAUAAAAAUUUUUGUUUCACUACAAUAAAAAAUUUAUUUCAUAGUAAAAUUUUUUAUUUAUCUUUAACUCAUAUAUUAUUAUAGAUUUAGUUUUUAUUUUUUAAUAAGACUUAACUUGAAUUUGAUUUUAUAUUAUCAUAAACUAUAAGUAAUACAUUGUCUUUAAAAACAAUACAAAUUAUUUCAUUCAAACAAAGUUUUUGUUUUAAAAAACUAUUUUUGAAAACCUCUUUUCAAACGCUCUAGUUUUUAUAAAAUUCUAAAAAACUGUUUUUUGUUCUCUAUUUUGAAAACAAUUUUUAAAAAACAUUGUCAAACAUACCCUUAAUCAGUAACCUCUCUAAUUAUUUUGAGAAGUACAUGAGAUUUAGAGCUUGUUUGAUAAUUAUUUUUUAAAAUAGUUUUAUGUUUUUCAGAACAAAAAAAUCAGUAAAAUAUGUUUGACAAUUAAAAACCGUUUUCUAUUUUUUGUUCUCAAGAAUAGAAAACAAUAUGUUUUAUCUUUUAAUUGUUUUAUAUCAUUUUCUCUUGUUUUCUAAGAAUUAUUUAAAAAAAAAUUAUAAAAACAUGUAAAACGAUUAAAAAUAAGAAACAAGACAUAAAAAUUAUUUUUAAAACAUAUUUUAAAAUAUUAAAAAUACAUUAAAAUCAUUUUAAGUUUCUAAAAAUAUUUUUAUUUUAAAAAUAUUAGAAAAUUGUUUUUAAAAACUAUUUUUUUAUAAAAAAAUAAUUACAAAGCCCUUAAGUUUUCAAAUAUACUUUUUCCAAAAUCAAACUCUUUCUUGUUAGAGGAUAUAAUAUGCCCUUAUAAUUUUUGUAAUACCAACAUCAAACACAAAAAUAUUAAGAGUUAAAUAUAUAAAAUGAUUUAUUUUAGAAAAAAGAAUAAAUAAUUCUUGAAAAAAAUAAUUUUAAUCUCACUUUUUGAAAUUAAUAUUUAUUUAUUUUUACGAUUUAAAACACAACGGGACUAUUUUUAGGAAUGUAGUCGACCGUUGGACUUGUGCAGCUGUCUCCAGUCUCCACUGCUUUCCCUCGACUUUUCGAUCUGUAUUUUCUUUGGGAUAAAACCCUAAGCACAAAUUCAUAUGAGCGGCCUCAAUCUUAAUUUCUCAUCCACGUUCUUCACUGCCUCUCUGCCUCUAACCCAAUCCCAAAUUCCAAACCCUAAAUUUCCUCAAUUCCAGCAAUACUCUUUCAGAAAUCGACAGGCUAAACGAUGCCGUCUCGUAGUACCACAUGCUAGCUCUUCCAAGCUUCCGCUCCUCCCCUUUGAUAUAAAUCAGGUGAGUUUCAGAACCGAUUCUUCUUUCUCUUCCGUUUGCCUCUCUUUGUUUUUCUGGAAUUUCUUUUCUUUCUUUUUUCUUUUACGAAAUAAUUUUGCUAGACGUGUUUGGGAAAUGUUGGUCUUGAUGAUUCUUUGUUGGAUCUUCCUGAAAAAUGUUGUCUGGGAUAAUAAAAUUAUUUAUUCUAUUAUUAUGAGGGUUGGAGAAUUGCUGUUUUUUUAAGGGAAAUAAUUUUUCUAGGCGUGUUUGGAAAACAUUGAUCUUGAUGAUUCUUUGUCCGUUAUUUGUUUUUGUGGAAGCAUUUUUCUGGUAUAAAAAAAUAAUUGGUUUCAUUAAGAUGUUGGAUAAUUUUUUUUUUAAGAAAGUAAAUUUUCUAAAUGUGUUUGAAAAAUGUUGGUCUUGAUGAUUCUUUGUUUGUUGUUUGUUUUCGUGGAAAAUGUUUUCUGGGAUAAUAAUUAUUUUUUGUUUUGUUAUGGGGUUUGGAGAAUUUCUUUAUUCUUUUUUCAUAAGGAAAUAAAUUUUAUAAAUGUGCUUGAAAAAUGUUGGUCUUGAUGAUUCUUUGUUUCCGUGGAAAAUGUUUUCUGGGAUAAUAAUAAUUAUUUGUUUUGUUAUUGGGUUUGGAUAAUUUCUUUCUUCUUUUUUCAUAAGGAAAUAAUUUUUCCAGACUGGUUUGGAGUAUGUUGGCCUUGAUGAUUCUUUGUUGGUUGUGAUGCUCCUAUGAUCUAUCUCUUUGCCAUGUUUUACUAUCUGAAGUUGUGUUGCUGCAAGUUUUAUUUGUUUCAAUGACAAAUUGUUUGUUUUUUAGGGUGGGUGUUUGGAAAAUUUCUUGGAAAAUGAUUUUCCUAGAAAAAUAUUACUCCACGUGGAAUCAAGAACUUCUGUCUGGAAAAAGUUGAAAAAUAUUUCUUUGUUUACCUGGAAAAUGUUUUCUGGGAUAAUAAUUAUUAUUUGUUUUGUUAUUGGGUUUGGAUAAUUUCUUUCUUCUUUUUUCAUAAGGAAAUAAUUUUUCCAGACUGGUUUGGAGUAUGUUGGCCUUGAUGAUUCUUUGUUGGUUGUGAUGCUCCUAUGAUCUAUCUCUUUGCCAUGUUUUACUAUCUGAAGUUGUAUUGCUGCAAGUUUUAUUUGUUUCAAUGACAAAUUGUUUGUUUUUUAGGGUGGGUGUUUGGAAAAUUUCUUGGAAAAUGAUUUUCCUAGAAAAAUAUUACUCCAAGUGGAAUCAAGAACUCCUGUCUGUAAAAAGUUGGUCUUAGGCUGUGAUGCUCAUAUUACUUUGCAAUGUUUGAAUAUAUAAAAUUGGAUUGCUGUAAGUUUUAUUUGUUUUCCAGGAGGGUUUUUUGCAAAUGAAAAUUUUUUGUUUCUUGUAUGUGUUUGAAUGUUUUUCUUUCUCUAAGGAAAACUAUUUCAUUAGAGUGUAGGGGCCUCAUGUUUGGAAAAUGUUGGUCUUUAACACUUAUUUGUUGAUAAAGAUGGUUUUACAACUUUUAUGAUCUAAAAUUGGAUUGUUGUAAUUUUUAUUUGAGCUCUAGAAUUUCUGUUCAAACUAAGUCGAGAUAUGUUGGCUUGUUUUGGUUUGUGAUUGAAGUUUACCAUAUUUUACUUUAUGAAUUGAGAAGAAUGAUGGUGAUUGCCAUGAAUUAAUCUGUUCAUAUUUAUUAAUUGGUAAUCUUUGAACUUUCUGGUUAUAUUCAUUGCUCUAUAAAUUGCUAAUAAAUGAAAAAAAGAAUUUUGUCAGUUAACCUUUGUUAUAGUACAUUCUAGUACCCAUGGGACAAUUUAAGAUCUUGUUAAUUGUUAGCAAUUUAUGCUCGUAUAAAGACUAGUUUUUGCUACAUGCUCUACUUUUUUCUUAUCUACACUCCUUAGAAAUAACUUGUGAAUGACAGUAAUGCAAAACCAUUGUUUGCCAUGGAACUCAUUUUUUAUGCCUUGUAACAUUGCUUGGUGUUUGCGCUGUCUUGGUGCUUUGUAAAGAUUCACAAAGUUCUUAGAAUAGUAUACUUAAAACCUUGAAAUUAAGAUAUAUUAUGACCUGUCGUGCCAUGGUGCUAAGUUACUUGGUUAGUGUUCAGUUCAUAUGGUCUGUGGAAUGGUUUAUUUUACCACUAUAAAAAAUAAAAAAAUAAAAAAUGAGAGAGAACCAUGAUCAUAAGCAAGAUUAAGUAGUGUCAUGCUUAUGCCAAAAUAUUUUUAAUAUAAUUUAUUUUCUAUUGAGAGCUUACAUGUAAAUUGGAUGAUAGAAUGCACUGUAGAGUUGUAGUUCUCACUUUGCUACUUGCACAAACAUUACACUUUUUUCUGUGUAAAAUGAUGUUUGAAUUUUGGACCAAAAAGAGAUACUGCAAACAAAGAGAAAUCUUUAUUUAUUGGUGAUUAUAUUUAUUAAUAAACACAACAUAAGUAGCUUUGGAUUAGUUGGUCUAGACCCUCCAUUUUGUCCUCUUGGCACGUGAUGCCCAAGUUUGCCCUCAUUCAUCUUCUGUUACUUGUUUAUGAUCUUAUGGUCCUUUUUUGAGCUAUUUUUAAGCUCUUUUCGAUGGUCUACUGCGACUCUUUCAGUCACUACCUUUCGAUUUUUAUUGGAGAUACCUUGGGGGACUUUUUAGGGAUCCCUAGUGCGCUUGCUCAGUGACCUAUUUUUUUUUUUUUUUUUUAGUUUAGGAUUUUUGUUUAAGUUUUAUUUGAUUUCUACUGUAUUUAGGUUUAGGUUUGUUUUUCUAUUGCAGGGUUCUAGGAUUUGUUCUUAAUUUGCAUGAAAUUGACAUUUUUGAUGUUUGAUUGCAUGUAACUAAUAUUUUGAUCUUACUUUCAUAAAUUUGAACUUUAAUUUUUGGUUGACAUAAAAUUAUUUUAUUUAUUUGUUUAUUUUUUUAAAUAGUCCUUUUUAAUUUUGUAUUGCUGGUGCACUAACUUUAGUUUUGUCUUUUUUUCUUUCAUAUGUGACCACCUUUUUAAUGGAUGCAAGGAUUCUUUAUGAGGUCAUGAGGAGAUCACGUGGUGAGCAUUGGAGGGAAGAAAAGGCUUUAGUUCUCAAUCAUGAAGACUUUUGAAGAAGGUUGAGAUAAGUUUGCUGAAUUUUAAUCUUGGUUUUGCUCCUUUUUUUUUUAUUGGCUCUCUUUGGUUUUAAUUAUUCUAGAUUAGGAUUGGGUGUGGACAAACCGGGCCACACAUGAGUGUUGCUAGAGUCCAUUGUUUAGGUCAAUGUGUGAAUGAUCUUUGUUAUUUCAUGGUUUAGAAUGAAAUUUUGAUUUGAUUUAACCUGACUUUUUAGCCAAUAAAGUCGUUUGAUAAUCCUAUGAUAACUGGCUUUGGAAUCAUCAUUUUUAUUUUGAUUAAUGAGGAUUUGAUUUUAUGUAUUUUUGUUUAGUUAAUUCUUGGAAUCCACAUUUCAUAAUUCACAUACAUGCAUGUUACUUAAAUAGGAAAUUGUAUGAUUUAAUUGGAUACUCACUUAGUGCUCUUUAGACAUUUAUUUUAGCGUUUAAUUCAGGCAUAAUUAAUCUCUGUAAAUUUGUUCCAUGUGUUAGAUUACAAUUAGCUUAUGUUUAGAGCACUUUUUAUCUAUGAUUUGAUAUACAUAUAACAUUUAAAUAGUUGAUCUUAUAUUGGAUUUAUUUAAACCUUCAUUUAAGAGUCUUUCAAUAUUGGGAUUUGAAAUCAAAAUAGAACACAAUAAACCACUUAAAUGGCUGCAAGUUUAGUUUAUACAACAAGUCAUAAUUCAUACAUCGGAUCGCCUAAUUCUAACACGAACACACAUAUACACACACACACUUGUCUUUAGCUGCUUUCUAGUGGUUCUUGAUUCCCAUGUUUUUAAUGAUUGUAAAAAAAUGAUUUCAAUUGCUCCUAAAACAAAAUGAGUUCUCAAAGUUCUAUAUUUAAAUUAAUCUUAGAUCGAUUAGGUAAUGAAAAGUUUACUUUCUAAAAGACAAUGCUACCUAUUUUAUUUUUUUGAUAGGAAACGACAAAGGGAUACUAGAAAAUACUAAGUAAAAACAUACAAACUCUCUAGAUUAGACCAACCCAUUGGAAUUACACAUUGCUAGCCAAUCAAUUUGUAACACAUUAAGGAGAGUCCCCUUAAAAACCUUGGAACAAAAAGCCCAAAGAAAAGCAAGGAAAUGAAUAGAAUCCCAAAGAUUCUCUGAAUUCCUUGCUUUUUAUCCUAAAAAAUCCUCGCAUUUCUUUUCUGCCAUACAACCCAAAUUAAAGCAAUGCAUGCAGCUUGUCACAAAACUAUCCCUCUCUUAGAUAAACUAAAACCAUUAUAAUUGAUGGACAACAUGUCAGAAAUGCUCCUCUGGGGACCAAUCCGUCUUGGCUAACUGAAAUAAUCUGUGUCACAACCCCAUCGUCAAAGAGCAAUGUAGGAAAAGAUGAUCUGCUGAUUCUCCAUGCUUCAUGCACAACUUAUAAAUAUCGGGACUAAGAGCUUUGUAGGGUCUUCUCAUUUGUAGCAAGUCAUUAGUAUUUACCUUAUUGUGUGCUACUAACCAGACAAAGGACUUGACUUUGAAAGGGACUUGAGAAUUCCAAACGAACUUAGUAGGGAAAACUGGAGGAAAACCAGAAUAUUGGGAUAAGGCAAGAAAGAAAGAUUUGAUUGUAAAAAGCCUUGAUGAAGAUAAAGACCAGGAUCCCGCAUCUGAAACCGAAGGUGAUAAAUGCAAACAAUCAAGUGACCGCAUGAGGCCUUCUAAAUCUUCUAUCUCAUAAUCAAAAACGUUAUGGCGGAAAUUAAAGUUCCAAGAGAAGAGACGAGUAGAACCGAGAAUUGCAGAAAUAUGAAUAUUUUUAUCCGUGACUUCUCUAAAUAGUCUUGGAUAUUAGGAUCCCAAAGGUUGGUCUCCCUACCAAAAGUCUUCCUAGAACCGAAUUAUUUCCCAUCUCCUACCACAAACCGAGUAAACUUAUAAAACUCCUGAAAGACGUGUGCUAUUGCCUUUCAAGGACAACGAUGUGGCCAUCUGACUAUAGCGUUGACAUCCCAACCAUUGGAGUUUGAUCCAUAAAUGCUUAAAUCUUCUAUCUCAAAAUUGGAAAGGUUACGAUGGAAAUUAAAAUUCUAAGAGAAGGGAUGAGUAGAACCGAAAAUUGAAAAAAUAAGAAUAUUUUUAUCCGUGACUACUUUAAAUAGUCUCGGAUAUUGGGAUCCCAAAGGUUGGUCUCCCCACAAAAAAUCUUCCCAGAACCGAAUUAUUUCCUAUCUCCUACCACAAACCAAGUAAACUUGGAAAACUCUUGAAAGACUUGUGCAAUAGCCUUCCAAGGACAACGAUGUGACCAUCUGACUAUAUAGUGUUGACAUCCCAACCAUUGGAGUGUGAUCCAUAAAUGCUUAAAAUAACCUGAUGCCACAGAGCUGAACCCUCCCUAGGGUACCUCCACAACUAUUUCCCUAAGAGAGCGAGAUUCCUUAUAGAAAUCUUCCCAAAUCCCAAUCCCCUUUUUGCCUUCGGAUUACACACUACAUCCCAACUAACAAGAUGAUCUCUUUUACCUUCCCCAACCCCUGAUCAUAAAAAAUCUCUUUGCAAUCUCUCAAUUUUUGCAGCUACUGAAGCGGGUAUCUUAAACAAGGAAAUGAAGUAGCAAGGCAUAUGGGUGAGGCAAGAUUGGAUAAGAGUUAUCCUACCUCUAAAAGAUAAAUAAGCCUUUUUCCAUCCAUCUAAUCUUCUCGAGAUCCUCUCAAUCACUGGAUCCCAAAAGCCACAAGCCUUGGGAUUUCUUCCCAAAUGAAGACCUAGGUAGAGUAUGGGCCAACUAGAAGCCUUUACCUCUAAAAGAUAAAUAAGCCUUUUUCCAUCCAUCUAAUCUUCUCGAGAUCCUCUCAAUCACUGGAUCCCAAAAGCCACAAGCCUUGGGAUUUCUUCCCAAAUGAAGACCUAGGUAGAGUAUGGGCCAACUAGAAGCCUUGCAAUCAAGCAACUCGGCCAACCUAGAAAGAUGAUUCUGUUCAAGAUUAAUGCCAUUAAUAUUACUCUUGUUAAGGUUAACCUUAAGCCCAAAAAUAUGCCCAAACACUAGCAAUAAACUCUUGAGAGUCUGCAAAUCUUCCUCACGAGUGUUAGAAAAGAAAAUAGUAUCAUCUACAAAUUGCAAAUGGAACAUCCUUGUUUUGUUCCUACCCAUGCUGAAACCCUCUAAUGAAUUUCUUUCCUCGGUUCUCAAUAACAUCAUGCUCAGUACAUUUAUGACUAAAGUAAACAAAAAAGUGGAUAAAGGGUGGCCUUGUCUUAAGCCUAUAAAUGCCUUGACCCACCCUUUAGCAUUUCCAUUCACUAAGACUGCAAAAGAUACCGUGGACAAACCGCCUCUCAUCCAUUUCCUCCAUCUAGGACUAAACUCCUUUUUCUCCAACACAUGAUCCAAAAAAUCCAAACUCACAUGGUCGUAAGCCUUUUCAAAGUCAAUUUUAAAGACGACUCCUUCCUCCCCUGAUCGUUUUUUCUCAUUCACUAUCUCAUUGGCUAUGAGAACUGCAUCCAAUAUUUGUCUCCCUUGAACAAAAGCGCCUUGAGUAGAAUGGAUAGUUUCGUGUAGUACCCCUCUUAGACACCCUGAUAACACUUUAGCUAUUAUCUUGUAGAGACUAGUGAUCAAGCUAAUAGGUCUAAAGUCUGAAAUUUUCUUUUACAUGUUUUUUUUUAGCAAUAGAACUAAGUAGGAGGCAUUAGUGCUUUGAUUGAUAAUCCCGCUUCUGUGAAACUUUGCAAACACUCUCACUAAAUCCUCCUUGAUCACAUCCCAACAAUCUUGAAACACUGCAAUGGUAAAGUCAUCAAGCUCUGACGCCUUAUCCUUAUCCAAUUGAAAAAUGGCCUUAGAAAUCUCUUCUUCAGUAAAAAGGGAUUCCAACCUAAACGCACUUUUUUCAGAUAUAGGAGACCAAUCUAAGCCUUCAACUCUCCAAGACUCUCCAGUAGGACUCGAGUAGAGUUUUUCAAAGUACAAUAAAAUCUCCUCUGUGAUGCUCUCGGAAUUAUUCAACACUAAGCCUCUUUCAUUCUCCAACACCUUGAUAAAUUUCUUAUUUCGCCUGCCAUUAGCCACUUUAUGAAAUAACUUUGACUUACAAUCCCCUUCCCUAACCCAUUUCACCCUAACUUUUUGUCUCCAAUGAAUUUCUUCCCUCAAAAUUAAUUCCUCUAGCUCCCCUUUUCUUAAAACUCUUUGAACUAAAAGUUCAAAAGUGUCUCCCUACUUGCUCAAUGGUAUCAAAGUUAGUUAGUUCAUUCAGGAUACUUUUUUUUCCUUUCGUUUAGCUCUCCAAAAGAAACCUUAUUCCACUAUUUCAAUUUGGUCUUAACAAAUUGUAAUUUCUUCAUGAACUUGUGACCUUCCCACCCAUUUCCUUGAAAAUCUCUCCACCAACUUCUAAAGCCACUCCUUGAAACUAGGAUGUUGCAACCACAUAUUCUCAAACCUAAAAGGUAUUGGGCCCCACUUGAACGGGUUGGUAUCCAAAACUAUCGGCCAAUGAUCCGAUGUCCAUCUAGGAAGAACUUCUUGAAGGCUUUGAGGAAAUAAAUGUUCCCACUCAUUUGAGUAAAGAAAUCGAUCCAAUCUCUUAUACACGAAAGACUCUUGUAUGUUUGACCAAGUGAAUGGUGCGUUCCGUAAAGGUGGAUUAAACAAUUUACAUUCUCUUAUAAAACCAUCAAAGUCCUUCAUGCUUGAUGUUAAACUAGAACCUCCCAAUUUUUCUGAACUUCUUCUUAUGACAUUAAAAUCACCAUCCACACACCAUAACGAAAAAAAUAGGCCAAAAAUGUCUAAAAGCUCCACCCAAAAAUCCUUUUUAAGUAAGGGACUGUUUGGGCCAUAAAUUGCGGACAACCAUAGAGGUCCGCAUCCGUCCAAUACAAACUUGACUGAGACCGAAAAUAAGCCUAUUACCACCUCCUCACUGCGCAGUUUUUAGAGUCCCAAAUAAUCAAAAUCCCACCUGAAGCCCCGUACGCCAGAAGAGCAGCCCAUUCUUUAUUUCUGACCGUCCAAACACUACCCACAAACCUUCUGUCACACUCCACAUUUUUUGUUUCCUGAAUCAUCACAAUAUCCGGAAUCUCUAACCUCAUAAAAUUUUUAACCACCCUUCGCUUUUUCCUUGAUCCCAAUCCUAUUCCAACUAAUUAUUUUCAUGGAAAAACCUCACAGCCUUAAUCCUCUAAUCCAGUUCCAACAGGUCUCAUAUACCUGUGGAGCAUCUGCUCUUCCUCCUGGAAUAUACCUUAAUAUCUAGAGAGCUUAAAACCUAAUGCACUUUAGUCAUUUUCCAGGGGGACAAGCCUCCUUUUUGGAACUUGCCCGAUGGGGAGACCACAACAUCACCCUGGCUAACUGUAAUCAGGUUGGAAACCUCAUUAGGCAAAUUGGGUUUAUACAUGAUGGGAUUAAAACUCUCGAGCAACUGGUUUGGAUAAGGAGACUGGGACUCCUCCACAUUAAGGUUAGGAUUGCCAAUAGAUAUAUGACCUAAAGUACCAUCAUCGUCUUUUUUGGAAAAAAAAAAAAGAUAUUACUCGAUUUUCCAUAGGAAAUUGAGACUGAAUGACUGAACUAGGAAGGUCGGGAACAGAAGGACUCAUAACUGAAAGUGCCAAACCACACAAAGGGGGAAGAGAAGACAAGGGUGACUGAGAAGGUGAAGACAAAGUUACCUCCAUGUUUUCUGCUACCAACAAUCCACUAUUCCCCAUAAAGCUGAGCCCUUUACCUCUGAUUUCUGGCUUAGAAGGCAAGAUCGUGACUGAUGAACCAUGAUGAUCGGACCCCACUUAGCCCAAAAAUCCUUCUUUGUCUUCAUCGAAAUAGGGUUUGCGCAAAGCCACUUCGCCUCUUGACGACGAAGCCCCUUCUCCCAAACACCUUUUACGAAUCCUUGAUGAUUGACAAAAAAUGAGAGGACUAGCACUGAAUCCUCGUUCCAAUUGAGAUCCUGCCUCGAAAGCCUCUUUCUUUGGAAACUCUCUGACUAUGACUUCCCGUGCAAUAGAGGCAUGCUACGACUUCGAAGUCCUUGUUGGCAAUCAAAAUUUGGAGGAAAAAGGGUAGUCCAUAGCUUCUUUGAACCUCAGGAACUAUUGAUGCAACUUUCCCCUUUCCUUCUGCCAAAGCUUCUUCAAUUUGUAACAAACCCUUCUUAUCAGAUGGCUUCUUUCCUCUUGUUUUUUGGCCCAACCACGACGAGCCUUUUAAGUUAUGGCCCACUUUUGCAACAGUUAGUGGACUAGGAUUGGGAAGAGACUGGGCCUUUCCCUCUAUUUUAACGAAGUAUGCAACUUUCAAAAGUUUUAAAAAUGUAUUUUUGUUUUGAAUACACAUGAAUUAAAAUUUAUAAUUCCAAUCAAAGUUUUCCAAAAUAUGGUUUUCUACUAACACUGUUGAUAGUUCAUUAUACCCUUGAACUUGUAAAUUUGAAUUUGACCAUUUAGAAGCUCUUUAAAUUUUUUGUAAUUAUUCCAUGGUGUUGUAAACUUCUUGAAUUUGAUUUUGGGGUUUUGUUUGAGGAAAAAAUAAUAACCCAAUUAGAAGAUAUGAAUCAAUCUUUCAGUGAUGACGAUUUUAGGAUAUGUUAUGACACUGUUGCCCGUGAACAAAUGUUCUUAUUUUAUGGAAGCGCUUAACAAGCUAUAAAGGUACGUUCUUCACUUUAUGUGAUUAUUGCUUAUUGAGAGGUGCAUGUUUUAACAUAUACUUUGAUCCAUAGUAUCCAUUGAUUUACCCAUUAAGUGCCAUAAUUACUUCAACUUACUUAGUAGAGACUUAGCCUUUAGGGCUUAGAGGGGUACUACGGUUGUUCGUCGUACUUUCCCAAUAAGUAACUUGAUCCCCGGACCCAACUUAGUUUUCACCAUGGAUGAAAAUUUCGAAAAAAAAACGCUGAAGGUGAAAUUUCAUGUUUCAGUGAGCGGUGAUACAAAAAGUGGGAAGAAAUAUAAGAAAAAAUCGGCGAUUUAUGCCGAAAAAUAGGUGAAAUAUCGAAUUUUUAUCGAUUUAUCGGCGUUUUUGCCGAUAUUUUGGUUCAGUCAAUGCGCAGUGGCUUGGUUAUUGCGCGGUCAAAUGGUCACACCCACCAAAAUAUCAAAUUGCGGUUCAGGGGCUGGGGUUGGAACUUGAGCCCAAACCAAAACCCCAAAUAACCCUGGUCGACCAUUGGGUUAACUUGCCAUUUGUUAAAAUAUGUGCACCAGAUAAAUAUAUAGUAAAACUAUCAUAAAAAAAAAUAUUAAAAGAAUAUUUUAAUAAAAAUAUAAAACCCUGGCUUGGUUAUUGCACGGUCAAAUGGUCACACCCACCAAAGUAUCAAAUUGCAGUUCAGGGGUUGGGGCUGGAACUUAGCCCAAACCAAAAUCCCAUAUAACCCUGGUCGACCAUUGGGCUAACUUGCCAUUUGUUAAAAUAUGUGCACCAGAUAAAUAUAUAGUGAAACUAUCAUAAAACUAUCAUAAAACAAAUAAUUAAAAAAAUAUUUUAAUAAAAAAAUUAUUUCAAAUUAUUUUAUUUUUAAAUUUCAUUUAAUUAAUUACUAAAAAUAUAAAAACUGUCGUUAUAAUUUUCUUAAAAGUUUUUUCUAUAUCAUUUAUAUAUUAUUUAAAUAAAAAUAUUAAAAAAUGUAUACAUAUAUCAUCAUUUAUUUUAUAUUAUUUAAUACAAUUUAAAUUUAUUAAAUGGAUUAUAAUUUUAAAAUUAAAUAUAUUAUAAUCAAAUAUCACAAUAUUAUUUUCGAAUAAUAUUUAAUGUAAUUCAAUAAUAAAUAUAUAUUUAUAAAAUUCAUAUUUUUUUAUCAAUGCAUACGAUAAUAUUAUUAAAUAUGAUUAAUAAUAUCAUAUGCAUAUAUCAUUUUUUUUUAUAGAGCAACUUUAAAAUAUCUAUUAUUGUUUAUUAUAACAUUUUUAGAUUUUUUUCUCAAUAUUUUCAUAUGUUUUAAUCAAUUUUAGGUCUACCAAAUUUAUUUUUUUCAAAAUAUCCGUCAAUAUAUCUUCAAUAUAUUCAAUAUAUCCGAAAAAUCGAAAUACCGAUAUUUUCAUCAUUGGUUUUCAUAGACCUAUCUUUUCUUUCAGGAGUAACAUUUAGGAUUUUUUUCUUCUUAUUUUGUUUGCCCUUUAAAAACUAAAACAACAAUAAGUGACGACUUCAUUAUUUAAAAAUUAGUUUUUCAUAAAUAAGAAGCGAGUCUCGCCAUUGAGUGGGAACGCAUGUGAAAAUGUGGGAUCACAAAGUGGCGACUCCGCUAAGGACAACCUUGAACUUAGGUUGAGGUAAAUGUGGGGUUUGAUUGGUCGAUUAGUGGAUACCCCUUCUUUGUGCCUUUGUAUAAUUGAGUAUAUAAUGGCACAUUAAAGAUUUUUUUAUAUUACAAGUAUCUAUGAUGCAAAUUAGAUUCUGAUGCUUACUUAUGAUUGCUUUAUUUGUCUAUUAUGUUUGUCUUGAUAUGAUUUGGUUAUACUCUUAUCGCAUGACUAUUAUUGCAUAUGAUGACUGAUCUAGCUAUAUGUUUUAUUAGAUUACCGUAUCUUUGUUUAAUUCAACUAUAUGGAUGGAUGAUUUAUACAUGUAUUGCCUGACUGAUUGUUGCAUGACUAUCUUUCUUGUGUUUGAUGCAUGAUUGUUUGUCUAUGUUUUAUUUUCUUGGUUUAGAUGAUAGGUUUUUCAGAUGCACCCAGAUCUUUCACUGUGCAAUUUAGAUCGUCUUUGAGUGAUUGAGAGUUGUGAGAUGCGCUAACCAGUAGGAGAGCAUUCACCAUAGGAAACCCCUUUGGAUGUGAUGAAGUGCAUAUGUGGAGAUGAUGACCACCUUGUCUUUUUGGUGGUGUGCAAAGGGUUGCGUAUCGUCGAAGGGUACGAUCGUUUUUGCUAGGGAUUCCCUUAACCCGCCCACUUAUUUUGUAGAGCCCACCUUGUCCUUAUAGGUUGUGCUUAGAUCCUUUUAUUAGCAAUUUCCAUCCUACACAUGGGUGCAUCUGAGGGCCUUCAUAGCUCACUCUAAUCACAGUUAGGAUCCAAUACUCCCUCCAUUUGGCUUCUUUCUAGAAUGUUCAAAGUUUAGUGGUUUUUUGAGUUUUAGUGGACCACCUUGUUGUGUUGUAUUGGUUUUUUGCCUAUUGUUCAAAUCAUAGUAUUUUUUUCGUGCUUGCCUUGUGUCGUAUCUUAUUCAGUUCUCUCCUUCUUGAGUUAGCAUUCUUUAGUUUGUCAUCACUGCGUUUGAUACAUCAGGAUAUGCUUAUCGAUCAUGAUAACCUUUUUACAUGCUACACCUAUCAUGGGCUUGAUACUUUAUCCUUUGAUUGAUUCACUUGAUUUUAUUUUUAACCUAAUGUUUAUCAUUUUCAUUAUAGAAAAGGUAAAAGGCUUGUUUUCUCAUUCAUACCUUUUUUAAGGGUUUCGCCUUGAUCACCAUACCAUUUUCUUUAUGAAGCUUAGGUUGAAAGUGAAUCAGGUAUGUCUUGUUAGAGAUAGAGUAUUGGUCCUGUGAUAGUGUUGUUCUUCACACCUCACUCAUUUUUUGGAUUAUUGAUAGAAAUUGUUUAAUCACAUUUGUAGCCAUCUCACAGUGGACACUUUUGUGACUCUAGGCUCUCUAUCAUACAUCCAGAUUUUGAUUAUCAUCACAGGACCACACAUCGUGUGUUGUGUUAGACUUUUAGACCUGAGCCAUUUCUUCAUUUGCAUAUUGUGAUCUUGAGGUCUGACCCAUCAUGGAGGACAUUGAGCUUUUUGACCUUAGACCAGAAGUCGGACCCAAAAAAUUCAAGAUUGUGACUCAUCUAUCUUAUGAUUAGAGUAGUACCUACCCAUUUUUCACAUCUUCUAUUCUUAUGUGCGCACCUAUUCUGAGCCUUAUGUCGCAUCACCCCUCACACCAUUAUCACUUGACCUUUCCAUCCCUGUAUAUCCUUGUAUAGCACCAUUACCCUUUCCUUUUAUCCAUUUUCUGACUCGACCAGGUAGUGUUUGGGGAGACUAGACUGGAGAUGAGCUUUGCACGAUGAGGGGAUGAUCAGUGGAUUAUGACGAGAGUACUUAGAUCACUUUAUGAGAUCACCGAUUACCAUUUAGGUGAGAGGAUCAUCUUUGAGAUCAUUAUGGAGCAUCCAGAUUAGACCCUUAUGCGUGAUUUCAGGAGGUUGGCUUGACUAUAGAGGUUGAUCUUCCAUGAUGACAGUUGGAUUGUGUUGAGAGGUUGUGGUUGAUGAGAUCAUUGUCUAUUCUGCCAUUGAGAGGACCAUCUUUGAGAUCAUUGCCGAGCAUUCAGAUUGAGCUUUUACACAUGACAGCAGAGGAUUGGCAUGGUUAUAGGGGUCGACAUUGUGAGGGGAUGAUCAGUAACUGAUGUUUACAGGAAGACAUUAUUGACUAUUCUACUGUUGAGAGUGUCAUUUUUUAGACUACUAUGGUGCAUUUAAAGUGAUAUUUGUUUUAUGUGAUUUAGACGGUUGACACAGUUACAUUGGAUGGACAUUGAUCUUUAGUGUUGAUCAUGUGAUAGUUUGAGAGCACAAUGUUUGGAAUCAUGGUUACAGGAUGGGUGGCCAUCAUUUCUGUCAACUUAUACCUUAUCACCUUUAUUGACAUUUGGACCGUUGCUAGCCUUUUGAGCCUCUCAUGAGCAUCUUGGCCUUUUUCUUUCUUAUAGCCUUGCUCACCUUUACACCGGGAUAGGGGCCCUUUGAUGUACAUAUGCUUUGUUCGGGAGUUUCAGGAGCCUUGGACUUACUGACAUACUUUCUUCACUAUUUUGUUAUCCUCAUGAUAUCCACGUUUCAUUAUUCCCACUAUUUGUAUCCUUCGUUCCAUUUUGUUGACUUCCUUAUCAUUUGAUUUACUUCGUUUCUUUUCAUUCCUCGAGUACCGAUCUUUCACAUUUCAUUGCAUGGAGUGUAGUCAUAUCACCACUUACAUCCCAUCCUAUGGACAUUGGUCCAGAGAUCCUUGGUUGAAAAGGUUGUCUUAUUAGUGAGAGUGUACAUCAUUGUUUGAGAGUUAUCCAUGUCAUUAUGUAUUCUUAUUGGAGUUCAUGUAUUGAUAUUCAAAUGAUGUGCACAAAAAGAAAAGGUUAUCCAUGUCAUUAUGUAUUCUCAUUGGAGCCCAUGUAUUAAUAUUCAACUUAUGCGCAAAAAAAAAAAAAAAACGUUAUUCAAAUCAUUGUGUAUUAUCAUUGGAGCCCAUCUAUUGAUAUUCAGAUUAUGCG